GGUAGCAUGGCCGAGUGGUCUAAGGCGCUGGUUUUAGGCACCAGUCUCUUCGGAGGCGUGGGUGCGAGUCCCACUGCUGCCA
rnacentral:tRNA from 1 species